rnacentral:lncRNA from 1 species
GGGAAGAGUGAUGGGUCUUCUAAAAGAAUCUACAUUUUUUUGCUCUCAGUUCGUGGACAUGUUUGUGAGUGAGACCCAAGGAAGCAGACUGCUGCUGGUGGCCAUCCCAAGUCCAUGA